rnacentral:rRNA from 1 species
AGAGUUUGAUCCUGGCUCAGAAUCAACGCUGGCGGCGCGCUUAACACAUGCAAGUCGAGCGAGAAAGGGGAGCAAUCCCUGAGUACAGCGGCGUACGGGUGAGUAACACGUGGGUAAUCUGCCUUUUAGUGGGGAAUAACCCUGGGAAACCGGGGCUAAUACCGCAUAAUCCUGUGAAGGGAAAGCAGCAAUGCGCUGAAAGAGGAGCCCGCGGCCGAUUAGCUAGUUGGUGAGGUAACGGCUCACCAAGGCGGUGAUCGGUAGCCGGCCUGAGAGGGCACACGGCCACACUGGCACUGAAACACGGGCCAGACUCCUACGGGAGGCAGCAGUGGGGAAUCUUGCACAAUGGAGGCAACUCUGAUGCAGCGACGCCGCGUGAGCGAUGAAGCCCCUCGGGGUGUAAAGCUCUUUCGGCAGGGACGAUAAUGACGGUACCUGAAGAAGAAGCUGCGGCUAACUACGUGCCAGCAGCCGCGGUAAUAC